AAACCGUUACCAUUACUUGU
rnacentral:miRNA from 1 species